rnacentral:rRNA from 1 species
UACGUAGGGCGCGAGCGUUGUCCGGAAUUAUUGGGCGUAAAGGGCUCGUAGGCGGUUUGUCGCGUCGGGAGUGAAGACUCAGGGCUCAACCCUGAGCGUGCUUCCGAUACGGGCAGACUAGAGGUAUGCAGGGGAGAACGGAAUUCCUGGUGUAGCGGUGGAAUGCGCAGAUAUCAGGAGGAACACCGGUGGCGAAGGCGGAUCUCUGGGCCUUACCUGACGCUGAGGCGCGAAAGCUAGGGGAGCGAACAGG